rnacentral:lncRNA from 1 species
UAGCUGGGGCCACAGGCACAUGCCACUACCUCCAGCUUGGCUUAUUUCACUUAGUGUAUUUUCAAGUUUUAAUCACGUUGUAGCGUGUACCAGAACGUCAUUCUUUGAUAUGGCUGAAUAAUAUUCCACUGUAUCCAUUCAUCAGCUAAUGGACACUUGGAUUGUCUCCACCUUUGGAUAUUGUGAAUAAUGCUGCUAUGAACAUUGGUGUAAACACCUUUCUAUGAACCUGUUUGAGGAUAUUGUUUUAAUUAAAAGCAAGCUGCUACCACUACAUACCUAUUAGAAUGGCCAAAAUUCAAGACACUGACAACAAAUGCUGGUGAGAAAUUGGAGCAACAGGAAUUCUUAUUCAUUGUUGGUGGGUGCAAAAUGAUGCAGCCACUUUGGAAGACAGUGUUGGCAGUCUCUUACAAAACUAAUGAUAUGGACAGGAGGCAGGAGGGCGGGAUUCCUGGUGAGGGUUCUUACCCUCAAGCUUGGACCCAUGGCCCUAAAUGAGAACAGGCAUUCCUGUUUUCACGCCUGUACGUUGCCUUUUCCAAGACCAUUGUGGCCCACCCUGCUCUCUAUCCUGUGCCCAUAAGAACCCCAAAUCCCAGGCUCCACAAACAGAAGAGCAGCAGAGGGGCAGAGGGGCAGAGCUGCAGAGCAAGGUGGUGGAGAAGGAGAAAAGAGAAGAAGCAAUUGAGCAUUGAAGAGGUAGCUGGAUGGUCAGAGAGGAAUUUGGCCAGGGACAGCAGAACUCCAGGGGACGAUUAUCUUCCCACGCCAUCCCCUUUCCAGCUCCCCAUCCUGCUGAGAGCCACCUCCCUCACUCAAUAAAACCUCUGCAUUUACCAGGUGCCCGCCACCACGCCCGGCUAAUUUUUAUUUUUGUAUUUUUAUUAGAGACAGGGUUUCGCUGUGUUAGCCAGGAUGGUCUCGAUCUCCUGACCUCGUGAUCCGCCCGCCUCGGCCUCCCAAAGUGCUGGGAUUACAGGCGUGAGCCACUGCACCCGGCCGCAACCAUACGAUUUACCCAAAUGAACUGGAAACUUAUAUCCUCACAAAACCUGAACACAGAUGUUUAGAGCAGCUUUAUUCAUAGUUGCCAAAACUUAGAAGCAACCAAUGUAUCUUCAGUAGGUGAAUGGAUUUAAAACACUGGUACAUGCAGACAGUAGAAUAUUAUGCAGCACUAAAACGAACUGAGGCUGGGCACAGUGGCUCAUCCCUAUA